AUUGAACACUGGCGGCAUGCUUUACACAUGCAAGUCGAGCGGCAGCGCGGGGGCAACCCUGGCGGCGAGCGGCGGACGGGUGAGUAAUGCAUCGGAACGUAUCCCGUAGUGGGGGACAACCCAGCGAAAGCUGGGCUAAUACCGCAUAUGCUCUACGGAGGAAAGUGGGGGACCCGCAAGGGCCUCACGCUAUGGGAGCGGCCGAUGUCCGAUUAGCUAGUUGGUGGGGUAAAGGCCCACCAAGGCGACGAUCGGUAGCUGGUCUGAGAGGAUGAUCAGCCACACUGGGACUGAGACACGGCCCAGACUCCUACGGGAGGCAGCAGUGGGGAAUUUUGGACAAUGGGGGCAACCUUGAUCCAGCCAUGCCGCGUGCGGGAAGAAGGCCUCGGUUGUAACCGCUCUGUCGGAGAAAGG
rnacentral:rRNA from 1 species